GUGCUCACUUCAGCAGCACAUACACUACAAUUGAACCAUACAGAGAAGGCUAGCAUGGCUCCUGUGCCAGGGUGACAUGCAAAUUCAUGAAGCUUUUAUAAGUAUA